rnacentral:rRNA from 1 species
CCUACGGGGGGCAGCAGUGGGGAAUAUUGGACAAUGGGGGCAACCCUGAUCCAGCCAUGCCGCGUGUGUGAAGAAGGCCCUCGGGUUGUAAAGCACUUUCAGUGAGGAAGAACGCCUGGUGGUUAAUACCCAUCAGGAAAGACAUCACUCACAGAAGAAGCACCGGCUAACUCCGUGCCAGCAGCCGCGGUAAUACGGAGGGUGCGAGCGUUAAUCGGAAUUACUGGGCGUAAAGCGCGCGUAGGUGGCUUGAUAAGCCGGGUGUGAAAGCCCCGGGCUCAACCUGGGAACGGCAUCCGGAACUGGCAAGCUAGAGUGCAGGAGAGGAAGGUAGAAUUCCCGGUGUAGCGGUGAAAUGCGUAGAGAUCGGGAGGAAUACCAGUGGCGAAGGCGGCCUUCUGGACUGACACUGACACUGAGGUGCGAAAGCGUGGGUAGCAAACAGGAUUAGAUACCCUGGUAGUC